ACGUUAACGAACGAGACCUUAACCUGCUAAAUAGUCACGCGAACUGACGUUCGGUGGACGACUUCUUAGAGGGACUUUCGGCGACUAGCCGAAGGAAGUUUGAGGCAAUAACAGGUCUGUGAUGCCCUUAGAUGUUCUGGGCUGCACGCGCGCUACACUGACGAAGCCAGCGAGUUUAUAACCUUGGCCGGAAGGUCUGGGUAAUCUUGUGAAACUUCGUCGUGCUGGGGAUAGACCAUUGCAAUUAUUGGUCUUCAACGAGGAAUUCCUAGUAAGCGUGAGUCAUCAGCUCGCGUUGAUUACGUCCCUGCCCUUUGUACACACCGCCCGUCGCUAAUACCGAUUGAAUGGGUA
rnacentral:rRNA from 1 species